CCUGGCUCAGGAUGAACGCUGGCGGCGUGCUUAACACAUGCAAGUCGAACGAUGAUGGGAGCUUGCUCCUGGAUUAGUGGCGAACGGGUGAGUAACACUGUGAGUAACCUGCCCUUAACUCUGGGAUAAGCCUGGGAAACUGGGUCUAAUACCGGAUAUGACUCCUCAUCGCAUGGUGGGGGGUUUUAAGCUUUAGUGGGGUUUGGAUGGACUCGCGGCCUAACAUCUUUGGCUGUGAGUCAUGGCUUACCAAGGCGCUACCGGUA
rnacentral:rRNA from 1 species